UACGUAGGGACCGAGCGUUGUCCGGAAUCAUUGGGCGUAAAGAGCGUGUAGGCGGCCACUUAAGUCCUGCGUGAAAUCUUGCGGCUCAACCGCAAGCGGUCGUGGGAAACUGGGUGGCUUGAGUGUGGGAGAGGGAUGCGGAAUUCCAGGUGUAGCGGUGAAAUGCGUAGAUAUCUGGAGGAACACCGGUGGCGAAGGCGGCAUCCUGGACCAUGACUGACGCUGAGGAGCGAAAGCCAGGGGAGCAAACGGG
rnacentral:rRNA from 1 species